rnacentral:miRNA from 1 species
AGAGGCAGAGUAGAGAUGAUGAUGAUGAUGAUGAUAAUCAUCAUCAUCAUCAUCAUCAUCAUCUUCAUCGAUA